UGUAACCUCAGCAUCAAUAGCAGCUUGUCAACUGAAAAUACUUACUAUAUCUGAGCACUUCUUAUCUCAGCUUUAGCCAAACACCUAAAAUUGUAUUCUGAAGUCUUUGAGUGAAGAGAAUAGAAUCACCUUGUCUCUGCAUUAUGGAAUUCCUACUGUGUUAGAAAAUGGGGACCUGUCAAACAUAACUCAUCAAUACCAUCUCUGAUGGCAACAAACCUCUAUGGAAUGCUUACUCUCUAUGGGGCACAAUAUGAAGGUUUCAAAUAGCAAAAAAUGAAAAUCGCACAACACGCAAAACGGAUUGCUCACAGCUCAGAUGCAGAUGACUUCUCAAAGGACCUGCACUUUGCCUCUCCUAAAUGGGAGGGGGAGAAAGCAAAGAUACAGACCUCAAGAAAGCUGACAGAUGGAAACAGCUAGCAUGAGAUUACAAGUUGCCUACAAUCUUCAAACAUCAUUACUCACAGCAUUUAUUAAAUGUCUACUACAUGCAAGGUACUAUGCUUGGUGCUUUAAGAAUACUAUCUCAAUAUUUCUGUGUCGCAUUCAGUGGCCAGAAGUCCAUGCCUGAGUGAUAAAGCUGCUCUGGUGGAGAUAAGUUUACUUCAUCUCUAGUGGGGUUCCGGUGAGAAGCAAGAAAGGAGGAUAAAGGAGAAGAGAAGACAAUGAGGAGAACAGAAACCAGGGAGGAAGGAAUGCUAAAAAGAGGGGAGGGAAAAAAUAUGGGGAUAAGAAACAGUCAAGAAGAGUCUCCAUAGGCCUGGAAAUCAAGAUUCCUUCAUAGAUGAGGAAGAAGAGGCAAAGAGGGAAUGAAAACAUGGACCAGUUUCACACAGAUUGUGAAGGGUAGCA